UGGCCUACAACGGCCAGGAAGCGAGCUUCCUGGCGGGUGGCGAGUUCCCCAUCCCGUUUUCGACGGGCGUCGGCGCCAUCGCCAUCCAGUUCAGGGAAUUCGGCGUGCGGCUCAACUUCACGCCGACGAUUGCUGGCGACCUCAUCAAGCUGCGGGUGCGGCCCGAGGUCAGCUCGCUCGACUUCAACAACGGACUUCUGCUCCAGGGGUUCCGCGUCCCGGCGCUCACGGUUCGCCGCGCGGAAACCGAGGUAGAGCUGCGCGACGGCCAGUCGUUCGCGAUUGCGGGGCUCAUCGACAACUCCUCGCAGGCCGACCAGGCGGCAAUCCCGAUCCUCAGCCAGCUCCCAAUCAUCGGGAACCUGUUCAAGAGCAGGGCGGAUCGGCAGCAGCGCACCGAGCUGCUCGUGCUGAUCACGCCACGCCUUGUGCGUGCGCUGGAUCCGGACGAAGUGCCGGAGCUGCCGACGCUGCCCGGGCGGUUCCUGCCGCCUGGAGACGAAAUCGGCCAGCAGCUCGAGGGCGGCGGCGGCGUCGUGGACGCGCCGGUUCCCUCGGACAGGCCGGCCAUCUGACCAAUGGGCAAUCUGAGAUCUGUAACUUCGAUUCGGAGCUGAUAUGACUGCACAUCUUCCCCCAGCGCCUUCACGCCGACCCGGGUCGGAACGCGGUGCAAUUCUGGUGCAGGUGGCGAUCGGGCUGAUUGUUCUGAUCGGGUUCGGCGCCUUCGUCAUCGACUACGGCCUGAUGUGGGUGGGCCGACGGCAGGCACAGAACUCGGCCGACGCGGGAGCGCUUGCCGGCGCGGUAGCGCUUGGGUUCGACGAUUUCGCCGAUCGGAGCGAUACCGGACCCGCGAAGCAAUCGGCGCACAACUUCGCGCUCGCCAAUUUUGUGGCCGGCGAAGCGCCCGACGUGCAGAUCGACACCGACGUCUACUUCUACGACGACGCCCCGU
rnacentral:misc_RNA from 1 species